ensembl:misc_RNA Metazoa_SRP Metazoan signal recognition particle RNA
GCUCUCAGGUGCAGUGGCACGUGCAUGUAGUCCCAGCACUUGGGAGGCUGAGGCUGGAGGAUCGCUUGAGUCCAGGAGUUCUGGGCUGUAGUGUGCUGCUAUGCUAAUGGGGUGUCCGCACUAUGUUCGGCAUCAAUAUGGUGACCUCCUGGGAGCGGGGGACCACCAGGUUGCCUAAGGAGGGGCUAACCAGCCCAGGUAGGAAAUAGAGCAGGUCAAAACUCCCUUGCUGAUCAAUAGUGGGAUCGUGCCUGUGAAUAGCCACUGCACUCCAGCCUGGGCAGCAUAGCAAGACCCCAUCUCUU